rnacentral:rRNA from 1 species
UACGUAGGUGACCAGCGUUGUCCGGAUUUACUGGGCGUAAAGAGCUCGUAGGCGGUUUGUCACGUCGGCUGUGAAAUCUCGGGGCUUAACUCCGAGCCUGCAGUCGAUACGGGCAGACUUGAGUUCGGCAGGGGAGACUGGAAUUCCUGGUGUAGCGGUGAAAUGCGCAGAUAUCAGGAGGAACACCGAUGGCGAAGGCAGGUCUCUGGGCCGAUACUGACGCUGAGGAGCGAAAGCGUGGGGAGCGAACAGG